rnacentral:rRNA from 1 species
UGGGGAAUUUUGGUCAAUGGGGGAAACCCUGAUCCAGCCAUCCCGCGUGUGCGAUGAAGGCCUUCGGGUUGUAAAGCACUUUUGGCAGGAAAGAAACGUCAUGGGUUAAUACCCCGUGAAACUGACGGUACCUGCAGAAUAAGCACCGGCUAACUACGUGCCAGCAGCCGCGGUAAUACGUAGGGUGCAAGCGUUAAUCGGAAUUACUGGGCGUAAAGCGUGCGCAGGCGGUUCGGAAAGAAAGAUGUGAAAUCCCAGAGCUCAACUUUGGAACUGCAUUUUUAGCUACCGGGCUAGAGUGUGUCAGAGGGAGGUGGAAUUCCGCGUGUAGCAGUGAAAUGCGUAGAUAUGCGGAGGAACACCGAUGGCGAAGGCAGCCUCCUGGGAUAACACUGACGCUCAUGCACGAAAGCGUGGGGAGCAAACAGG